ACAUUUGCUCCAUCCUUGAGCUCCAUAGCCCCGCCGCCACCUGCUACUGACGCGUGUCCCGCCUCCAAGCCCAUGGCCCUGCCUUCCUCAGUCCACCUGUCACCCCGCUCACCACCAGCUGUUGAUGUUUGCUCCGCCCUUGAGCCCCAUGACUACGUCCACUGCCUGCUGUUCGGAUUUGCUCAGUCCUUGAGCCCCAUGGCCCCGCCCACUGCUCCGCCCCCCCCAGUCCCGCCCUCAUUCCCUGGGCUCUCUAUUCCCCUCCCUCCCUGGCCUGGCAGAGCUGGACCUGCAGCGGACGCUGAGUUUGCAGGCGCCACCUGUGAAGGAGGGGCCACUCUUCAUCCACAGGACCAAGGGCAAGGGCCCCCUCAUGUCCUCCUCCUUCAAGAAGCUCUACUUCUCCCUCACUACCGAGGCCCUCAGCUUCCCGAAGACGCCCAGCUCCAAGGGGCCUCCUGCUGCGCACUCCAAGGGGGUGCACGUUUCCAAAGAGAGAUCAAGGGACAUGGGGAAAGGAGAAAGGUACGUAGCUUGAGGUUCCCGCUCAGCCAGGACUAGGAGGCCUCUGUAGGGGCAGAACAGCCCUCCCGGCGCUCUGAGCAUGCGCCGAAAAGCGCCCACGGGGGAAAGCCAUGCCGGGGUG
rnacentral:lncRNA from 1 species